AAGAAGCUGGCAGUAGCGCGAGAAGUCUUCUAAAUUUUUCGUGGGCGUAUCAACCCGUUCGAGCUUUUUU
rnacentral:tRNA from 2 species